rnacentral:rRNA from 1 species
UCCUACGGGGGGCAGCAGUGGGGAAUAUUGCGCAAUGGAGGAAACUCUGACGCAGCAACGCGCGUGAAUGAUGAAAGCCUUAGGGUUGUAAAGUUCUGUCUUCUGGGACGAUAAUGACGGUACCAGAGGAGGAAGCCACGGCUAACUACGUGCCAGCAGCCGCGGUAAUACGUAGGUGGCAAGCGUUGUCCGGAUUUACUGGGCGUAAAGGAUGCGUAGGCGGAUAUUUAAGUCAGAUGUGAAAUACCCGGGCUCAACUUGGGUGCUGCAUUUGAAACUGGAUAUCUAGAGUGCGGGAGAGGUAAGUGGAAUUCCUAGUGUAGCGGUGAAAUGCGUAGAGAUUAGGAAGAACACCAGUGGCGAAGGCGACUUACUGGACCGUAACUGACGCUGAGGCAUGAAAGCGUGGGGAGCAAACAGGAUUAGAUACCCGUGUAGUCG